rnacentral:rRNA from 1 species
GGAUUAGCUAGUUGGUGGGGUAAAGGCCUACCAAGGCGACGAUCCAUAGCUGGUCUGAGAGGAUGAUCAGCCACAUUGGGACUGAGACACGGCCCAAACUCCUACGGGAGGCAGCAGUGGGGAAUAUUGGACAAUGGGCGCAAGCCUGAUCCAGCCAUGCCGCGUGAGUGAUGAAGGCCUUAGGGUUGUAAAGCUCUUUCACCGGAGAAGAUAAUGACGGUAUCCGGAGAAGAAGCCCCGGCUAACUUCGUGCCAGCAGCCGCGGUAAUACGAAGGGGGCUAGCGUUGUUCGGAAUUACUGGGCCGUAAAGCGCACGUAGGCGGAUAUUUAAGUCAGGGGUGAAAUCCCAGAGCUCAACUCUGGAACUGCCUUUGAUACUGGGUAUCUUGAGUAUGGAAGAGGUAAGUGGAAUUCCGAGUGUAGAGGUUGAAAUUCGUAGAUAUUCGGAGGGAACACCAGUUGGCGAAGGCGGCUUACUG